CGCUGGCGGCGUGCCUAAUACAUGCAAGUAGAACGCUGAGGUUUGGUGUUUACACUAGACUGAUGAGUUGCGAACGGGUGAGUAACGCGUAGGUAACCUGCCUCAUAGCGGGGGAUAACUAUUGGAAACGAUAGCUAAUACCGCAUAAGAGUAAUUAACACAUGUUAGUUAUUUAAAAGGAGCAAUUGCUUCACUGUGAGAUGGACCUGCGUUGUAUUAGCUAGUUGGUGAGGUAAAGGCUCACCAAGGCGACGAUACAUAGCCGACCUGAGAGGGUGAUCGGCCACACUGGGACUGAGACACGGCCCAGACUCCUACGGGAGGCAGCAGUAGGGAAUCUUCGGCAAUGGACGGAAGUCUGACCGAGCAACGCCGCGUGAGUGAAGAAGGUUUUCGGAUCGUAAAGCUCUGUUGUUAGAGAAGAACGUUGGUAGGAGUGGAAAAUCUACCAAGUGACGGUAACUAACCAGAAAGGGACGGCUAACUACGUGCCAGCCGCCGCGGUAAUU
rnacentral:rRNA from 1 species